AUAACUCUGGGAUGUACGCCAGUGGGUCAAAUUCCCCUGAGCCGAUAUCUACAUCUUAGGAUGCGAUCUGUGUGUUUAGAGUGUAUGCCUACCUCGAGUAGGAAACCCAGCAAAUACACGUCGUGUCCACCUUGAACUUUAGGGUUCAAGGGUAAUGACAUACAGCGGCAUCCUGGAGCUAUA
rnacentral:other from 1 species